rnacentral:rRNA from 1 species
CCUACGGGAGGCAGCAGUGAGGAAUAUUGGUCAAUGGACGAGAGUCUGAACCAGCCAAGUAGCGUGAAGGAUGACUGCCCUAGGGGUUGUAAACUUCUUUUAUAUGGGAAUAAAACAGGGUAUGUAUAGCAUAUUGUAUGUACCAUAUGAAUAAGGAUCGGCUAACUCCGUGCCAGCAGCCGCGGUAAUACGGAGGAUCCGAGCGUUAUCCGGAUUUAGUGGGUUUAAAGGGAGCGUAGGUGGAUUGUUAAGUCAGUUGUGAAAGUUUGCGGCUCAACCGUAAAAUUGCAGUUGAAACUGGCAGUCUUGAGUACAGUAGAGGUGGGCGGAAUUCGUGGUGUAGCGGUGAAAUGCGUAGAUAUCACGAAGAACUCUGAUUGCGAAGGCAGCUCACUGGACUGCAACUGACACUGAUGCUCGAAAGUGUGGGUAGCAAACAGGAUUAGAUACCCGAGUAGUC